rnacentral:rRNA from 1 species
CGUAGGGUGCGAGCGUUAAUCGGAAUCACUGGGCGUAGAGUGUGCGCAGGUGGCCGCGCAUGUCGAGUGUGAAAUCCCCGGGCUUAACUUGGGAAUUGCGCUCGAAACUACGUGGCUGGAGUGUGGCAGAGGAAGGUGGAAUUCCAGGUGUAGCGGUGAAAUGCGUAGAGAUCUGGAGGAACACCGAUGGCGAAGGCAGCCUUCUGGGCCAACACUGACACUCAUGCACGAAAGCGUGGGGAGCAAACAGGAUUAGAUACCCUGGUAGUCCACGCCCUAAACGAUGAUGACUAGUUGUUGGAGGAGUUAAAUCCUUUAGUGACGCAGCUAACGCGUGAAGUCAUCCGCCUGGGGAGUACGGUCGCAAGAUUA